rnacentral:miRNA from 14 species
UGCUGUGCUUGUUAGCUGAGAUCUUUCUAGAAUGAUUUAGGGCAGCAGCAACAGUAGCAGCAGCAGCAGCAGCAGCAGCAGCAGCAGCAGCAGCAGCAGCAGCAG